ACUAUGGCCUGGGCCACGGUCCUCCUCUUGGCCCUCUGUCACAGCACAGGUUCCCUGUCCCAACCUAUGCUGAUCCAGCUGUCCUCCCUCUCUGCAUCUCUGGGAUUAUCAGCCAGACUCACCUUCACCCUGAGCAGAGACAUCCGUGUUGCUGGCAAAAACAUGUACUGGUGCCAGCAGAAGCCUGGAAGCCCUCCCCAGUUUUUCCUGCACUACUAUUCAGACUCAGAUAAGGAGCUGGGACCUGGGGUCCCCAGUCGUGUCUCUGGAUCCGAAGAUGCCUCCACUAAUUUGGCAAUUUUGCUCAUCUCUGGGCUGCAGCCUGAGGAGGAAGCUGACUAUUACUGUGCAUAGGUCAUAGCAGUGGGAGCAG